UACCCAUUAAUUUCAACAAGAUUACCCUUAACUGAUUUUCUCAUUUGUUUAAAAUGGUUUUAUUCCCUAAUUCAAGCAGAGAGUGCUCAUUUUUUCCUAGCCAGUUUAAGACCAAGUGGCUAGCAAUGGAAGAAAGCAAGACCUUUGUUUCAGAGCUUAUGAAGAAGGAGCAGCAGGAGAAGGUGAACGCAUGUUUUGGCAUUACAUCUGGCAUCCAGCCCUCAUCAAGGGAAAGGCUUCUGACUCCUGCCAGCAAAGGACUUAGUUGCUUUCAAGCGGAUUUUAUUCACCUGGAUAGUCAUGCAUCUAAAACAAGCAGAGAGGAGGCUACCCCAACCCAGAGUCUCCACACACAACUCUCAAUACAAUGUGUAUUGAUGACAGCCUGAAGCAGGCUUGACUUCAGUCCUCAGGAGAAAAAUAUGCAACUCUUUUUUUUUUUUUUUUUUUUGAGACGGAGUUUCGCUCUUGUUACCAGGCUGGAGCGCAAUGGCACGAUCUCGGCUCACCGCAACCUCCGCCUCCUGGGUUCAGGCAAUUCUCCUGCCUCAGCCUCCCGUGCAACUCUUUAUAACAACUGGAGUUCUCCAGAUUUCCGAAGUUCAUAGAUCCAAUGUAGUGAAAGACAAUUUCUGGUGAGCAUUGAAAUUAAAAAUGAGAAACAAAUUUCAGAAACCUCUUGACUGACUGUUAUUACUUCAUAAAAUAAGGACAUUUUAACAACAAAAAAGGAAGAAGAUUAUAAC
rnacentral:lncRNA from 13 species